UGAAGCUCUGCCCUUUUUAGUGUGAGUCGUAAUGCAAUGCAUGUAAAAGGGGGCAGGGUUUCAAAUGCACAAUCACAGCUAGCAUCUUGACUUUUUGACACACACACAGGUGAACACCCUGGUGCUAAGCUGAUUGGACAGCUUACAGUUAACAUAUUUUGCAAUCUGAGAAAAUGGUUUAAUGUAGAUUUUAAGAUAUGCCUGUAAAGAAAGGGGUUGAAUUUUCAGUUGCCUUGCAGAAAGAGAAGAGGGAAAGAUCAGUCCUGUACAAAACAGACAGUCCUGUUAGGCUACUUCCUACUUACUUUAUUAUUUGUUAUUUUAUUUAUUUGCUCUUUUUCUAGACAACCCUCAGCCAAAGUCUCUUGGGAAUGGGCCAAACUCAAGCAUAUUAAAACAACAAGUCCUUCAGGAAAAUAAAGUAAUAAUAAAAUUAUUAUUUUAAAUGUUCAAAAUCCAGAUUAAAGCUUUGCCCAACUACAUAUUACUAAAGUUCAGUUGAAAAAGCUUUAUGUGUAAAUAUGUAGGACGCAACAUCUGCAUGAUGACAUCAUCACUCACGUUUCAUCAUGUGCCCCCCUUUCACCCCUGCGGGUGCCAACAUCUGUCCAUAUGUCCUUAACCUUGUUUACCCAAUAGGAGAAGAAAGUCAUUUCAGUGAGUAGCCUAUGUCCAGAAGUUCUUCCAGCAUUCGCACCCUUCCCAGUCUGUUGUCCUGGAGUUCUGUUGAGCCUCCAACACCUGGAAUUCAUUGGCCAGCCUUGCACUAAAUCAUUUCUACAACUGAUCACUUUAUUCCACCCAUGGAUCCUGGGCUGGACCUUUAAUGGCAUUCAGAAGAACAUAACAAGAGCUUGGCUGAGCCUUUCCUUCUCCUUCUCCUUCCACCUUUCUAGAGUCUAGAGGUUCGGUUCUGAGCAUGGAUUAAGCAGGGCUGCGGGGGUCUGCACAUUACUAGCAGCUCGAGAAGUAUUUUAUUUGUAUACUUCAUUGUGUCUCCUUGAGCACAAGGGCAUAUAACCUUUUUCAUACUGAGAAUAGGCUGCCUUUGAGCAAGAUAUGGGGCUGCAUAGCUUCCAAGACUGGGUGCAACCUGCACUCAAAUAUGGGUAGAAUCAAGCCAAAGCUGAGCUAUUGAUUUAGUGUCCAUUUAAUUAAAAUGUUAUCCAUCAAGCAGGUAAUAUGAUUACUCCCCAGGCUUUUAACAAUUUCCCCUUUGUAACUUAUUAAAAAUUACAAUUUGUCAGGGCUUUAGGAAUCCCAUCUGAGCCUUCAAGAUCAUGGGUUGUCCAUCUGUGCUACCAGGGGACAAAACUGUUCCAUGGAAUGAGGCCACUGCUGUGGUCCAUUCUGGAUCUCAGCCAUGGCGGUCAGUUGAGGCAGUUGGUGGACCUCCUCAGUGUCCUUCCCAACCAUCUCAGUGCCACCAGCUUGUGAAAGGGAAGGGCUUGAUCUUGGUCACGGGUUGUUAAUUCUGCUGAUCGCCUAAGCCUCCCCCCUCCAAAUCACGGGUUUAGAAGAAGUGUUGGGACAAUUCGCUAGAAAGGGUUCUGUCAUGGCAUGAAUACUAAAAAAGAAGUGGAUUAAUUUUUUAAAAGUGUGUGUGAGGAGUAGUUGCUUUGUUUAAAAACACAUCUUAGGAGAAGUCAGAGCGCUGUGUGCAAAAGUGCGUCUCUGAAUGAAUGAAGCCCUGAUGUUGACCGAAUUUAGAUUAAUCAGCGACUUCCAAGCUUUUAUUUAUAGGCUGGAGCAGAGUUCUCCACUUGUUCAUAAUUUUUAUGGAUUGUUCAUAUUUUAGAGCCUUUCUCCAUGCCCAGUACCAAACUUACUGUGGACAGUUAUAUUCUCAUAAAAACUGAAAUUCUAAUGGACAACAAUAAAUUUUGCAGGAUUGAUGAAUCGCAAGCAAUGUAUUUACCAGUCUGAGGGGCUGAAUAAAAGAGUAUGUGUUCUGUGGGGCAACUUAAAUCACGGUAAAACGCUUGUCAUUUUCCUACCAAAUGGGAAAAUUCCAUUUCAGAAAUCCUAGCACAAGGCUGAGAUCUGGGAAGGAAAGGGAGAGACGUCAGACCCCAGAAGCAUUUGAUCCACUGUCCAAGGAGGGGUAUCCGCAGGAAGAGGGGGCAGUCAAAAGAGUCAAGAUGGCAGUUGCGAUGGUGCAAUCACGGCCCGGCCCCUUCUUUUACGCGAGUGCGAAUUUUUCGACCCUUCCCGCGGGGUGUCCCUGCGCCAAGGCUCCCUGGAUGCUUUCUCAACGUUCGCUUGUUCUUGUCUUUUGGAUCAUAAUAUUCCAGGUUACCAGCGAGCCAUAGCAAUAUGGCAGCGUGGUUGCUGUAGCUUGAUUUUACCAUUAUAUUCACUCUGGUUUUGCUUUAAUUUUUAUUAAUUAGAGCUGUUAAAAUUUUUAUUUCUCAACAUCACCCCCCAAAUGUCCAGCAUUUAUUUAGCCUGGAAAGAAGAAGCAAAUCCAGAAGGACUCUGGGCUUCUUUAGGAUUUUAGGAAAACUGCCAGCCGGUCUCUAGAACAAAACUUACAGUUCGGAGUACCAUCCAACGGGUGCCUGUUCUGUAGUAAAGCCCACUGAAUUCAAUGAAUUUUACUCAGAGCUAAGCACCCAACUAGUCUCCCCGCCACCUGGCAGACUCUUCAUGUUUUAUUGCUGAUCCUGAGUUGGCUGGGAAUAUGAGGAGAAUGACGUCCUCCCGUCCCGGUUUCUAGAGCAGCGUUUUAUCAACUCUUCUCCGUAACUCAGUUAAUGUCAUUUCUCAUCUAGGGAAGCCAGCAGAAAACUAAACCAGCAUAGGUUUUGCCGUCUCUGUUGCCAACCCCCAUUUAUUGUGGCUUGCAGCUAGAACGGUGUCCUCAUCCUCUUUGCCUCCUCAGUGUCCUUCCCAACAUCUCAGUGUCCCCAGCUCGGGAAAGGGAAGGGGCUGAUCCUGCAGCAACCCCCGUCUCUGUUCCUUUGGAAUGACCCCACCUGCUCUUGAAGCUGGAGCACGCAGAGCAAGGAUUUACUGACCGGCAGGCUGGGGCUGCAAGGAGGGCCGGAAGACGAUACGGGGGGAGGCGUAUCUGCGGUGGAGGACUGGCUGGAGUGACAGGCUGAGGCUUUUUAUCAGGCGAGCUGGAAGGAUCAUCCCUGAGCUGUGGAGCCGGAAGCCAGAAGGAAGACCGCCCCAGUUGGGUCUGCUGCAGCUGGAACAGCUGGAGCAGGUGCAGACAAGGGGUUACCAGGGCCAGGAAGAGGCCGGGGGAGUCGAAGAAGCCAAAGCCGGGGACGGUUGGGCAGCGCCUGGACUUUGGAGAGGCUGCGGGUGGGAGGGCAGAAGUGGUCCAGCAGGUGAGGCCGAAGAAAAGGGCCUGCAGCUUGAGCGGAGCAGCGGGCGAGGCCCCCGAGAAGGCGCCGCAGCGGAGCGUGUGGGGUGUGUGAGACUCCUGGAAGGAGGACCUGUGGAAGGGGCCCAGGGGCGGAGAUGGCUGCCAGCUGCUGAGCAAGCUGAAGUCAUAUCUGCAUGAGCCACCAACAGUUUCUGGAGGCCAGGAGCAGGUCCUGCCCCUUCUACUCACCCCCAGACCACCGCAAAUACAACCCCUGCCCAAGUUUUCCUGCUCUGGGUUGAAAGUCGUGUUCCCCGGCUGGUGCCGACUCCAGCCCCGCCGCCAGGUGUGGGGGCGGUGGGGGGGAGCCCCUCUGCCUGAAGCGGCUGGAACAGGACCAGGCGGGGCUCUGGCAGACAUUGGGGGAAAAGCCCGGUGGAAAGGGAGAUCGAUAGCUCAGGGAAGGAAAAAUAGUAACUGAAAGAGAAGAAAAGAUCCGUUUCUGCUGGGUUUCAGACCAAGGAUGCUCAGCCCACCCAGCGAGGGUCAAAGCCACCGAGAAGGACCUAAGACGGAAGCAGCGGCCGGUCUUCCUGAGGAAAAGCAGAGGAAAGAGACAUGCUUCGCCUGCAACUCCAGUCUUUGCUGGGAAAUUCUGGGAGCAGCAACAGCAACUAAAGGUGGAAAUGAAGCUCACUGUGGAUUGAUAGAGGAGGGUGUUUCAAGUUCCGUCAAAACUCAAUCAGCCAUAAGAUGGAGAGCAGCAGAGAAGGAAGUCAAGUGUUCAUCUUUGGUCAAAAGUUUGCACCAAAAAUGUGUUUAAGAGAUGUGCAUCUGAGAAAGAUCAUAACUUCUGAAACUUACAUUCUGAAAUGGCCCUCAGCUGGCGUCUGACAUCCAUCUGGCUUUCUCCGCUGAGACGUACCUGCCAGGUGCCCCACCGAGUGGAGAUAUCACCAGUCAGUCUUUCCAGGACUUGGAUGCAGAUGCGUGUGGACAACAGGCUGAAGAUGCAGAGGGUUGCCUGGAUUUUUGCAGCCCACAGAAGAUCUGCCUGAUCAAACAGAUCCCUACUGAAAGUGGCGUCAUCCUGAUGUUAUGUCAGAUGAGACCUUCCGAGUAGCAGGACUUCAUGUUUUCAACUCCUCUAGUUGGAAAUGUACUGAUUAAAGAAAAAAGAAAGGUUCUGAAUCAUUUCCAGCACACCGCAGAGAACCAAGGAUCCAAAGUAACUGACCAUCUUGUAUUUAAAGGUGACCAUUCUUAUGAGAGAUCUCUGUAAGAAUCCCAUGUCUACGUGGGAAAAAAUAUACGCAGAUGAGACGCACACUGUCUUGUUAUGCCACAGUGGCAAUGGAGGGCCACCUUCUCACUGACUGAGAACAGAACAGGACAACAAUAGGGGUUCAGAACCUCUACAGGCCAACGCAUACAGAAUCCUUUAAUCAGAGCUGGGUACUUAUGAGACCUGCCAGCUCUGUCCAACCUGAAGUUUUCUGAUGCAAGAAAUGAACUAUUCUGAUUGGAGGGCCAGAACUAGAGCUGACCCCUUCUUCCUAUCCGUGUUUCCCAACUGCUGGUAAGUUUGCAAUAGUUCCUAGUUGUUCAUUGGCAAGCUCUCUGGUUUUAUUCUCCUCGCCCUUUAAAUUUUGAAGAACGAAAGGGAGGAAAGGAGGGAGGAGGAGACAAGCUGCUGUCAAGAAAGCUGAUCUAACAGUCCACAAGCCACGUUCACGUCUUUGGCAGAUGGUAACAGGGAUGACUGCUUAGCGCUGCAUGUUUGACAUCUCCCAGAAAUAGCAAGCCAUGAUAAAAUGGUAGGCCUGUAGCCACUAUCAGCUGUUCCGGUGUCUUGGCUGAAAGUGGAAGUCACAUGCUUCGUUUCGCACCUCCCUGAUGCGAAAACGCUCUCGGGGGUGACUCACGGUGCAUCUGCUUCCCUCUGAGCCCCCCUCCUUCCUCCCCCACCCCAAUUCCCCUUCAGCCCAUAGUGGCAGUUGCCUGGUUGUGCUGCUGCUGCUGCUGUUCUCUUGUCACCAGCUUGUGUGACAGGUGAAGUGACACGGAGUCGGCAGAGUUGCAAAGAAGGUUGCUCCGGGCUUUUCCCACAUGGGGAGGUGAGGUUGCUCCAGCAGGAGGAGAGCAAAGUGGAAAAAAAAGCAUGUUCUAACAUCUGUUCGCUUCGCCACUUUUUUUGUUCAGCAGAACAACGGAACAACGGGAAGGGUGAAGGGAAGAGAAGGGACAGAGAUGGCCCAGAAGAGCAGCAGGGAGCUCUUCAGGGGGCUCCACUUCCUUCCGAGGACCCUGUCUCUGUACCUCCCAUUCAUUUCAGCAAGGUCCUACUUGCCUUAAAUGGCUAGGCUACCAGUUGUGGCCACUGCCCUGGCAACUUCAAGAAGGUGGAUGUGGGUAGGCUGGUUCAGUAUCUGGCUAAGGUCUAAGCACCUCCUGUACCCACUAAUGGACAGGCAGAUGCGGUGCAACCUUUCCAGAAUCAUAUGUAUGCUCCUGAACACGUUUAAUGUCUCACCAAUUGGCUUCAUUCUUCAAGGAGGAAUGCACACUAACCACACAUAGCAUAAAGGUCAGGUCUAUCGCCAUUCAUUUAUCUGAAGCAAUUUGUUUUUAGCCAUGCAAGGCAUGAAUCUUCCUUGAUGUGCUGGAUCCUGAGGUUCUUGAGUCUCUACACCAUCCAUUAGGGACUUCUUAGUAGAAGAGGUCAACAUCUCUCGCAAAGCCAACUAGGGGCGAAUGCCAUUUGGAGUGAGAUCAGAAACUUUUAUUUCCAGAAUAUAUUCAAGUCUAUUUCAGUCCUAGAUUCCUAGGAUUUCCCAGUAUCUACUUCAUAACUGGUCAUUGUCAACCUUUGGUUGCUUGCUGGAAGCAACCAAAACCCUUGAAAGAAGCCGGGAAACAACAUCCACAGGUCAUCAAAGAAGCAGAUACAUAAGUGGUAUUGGGAAAUGAGAAGGCCUUUGCAUAAAGACUCUCCACUGGGGUAAAAUGCAAGACUGUGGGUUCUGUGUUCUUUUUAAUACUCUACUUUCUUUCUAAUUACAUGAUGUGAUCAUCCUAGAAAGUGAUGGAAGACCCUUCAAACAAGAUAGGAAGGAGUGGGUACAGCUGAGGAAAGAGGAGCUGGAACAACUAUGAUGAUGAAACAUAAAACAUUCUGAAGAAUAAUUUAUAACAUGUAUUAUUUUUUUCUUGCCUCCCAACUCAUCACAUCCCCUCUCCUACCAAAAGGUCUUCUUCAUCUGAUAUCUAUUAAGGAAGAAAGAAAACUCAUCAACAGAAUGCCUUCACAUUCAGGAAUAAUUUGUUGAAAGCCCAUACUUCUUUGGUUCUGUUUUAUGUGUUAUCAUGAAUAAUAGCUUGCUUCCUAGGAAAUGGAUUAUCAAUCAUUCAUCCCAACCCAUUUUCAAGUUUGAGUGCUCCCCAAAUGAGUGUGAUUGUUUGGGAAGACAUGCAAUAAUUUAUUUGGAUGAUCUUCACAUAGGGCUGACAACUUGGAAGGAUCCUCACAUGUUCUUCAAGUUGGACCACAUUUGAGAACAUAGCAAGAGAGUCUGACCAAUGCCUGAUGCAAGUGGUCAGGGUGAUCUCAUGGACAUGGUUUACUUGGCCAUUCAAAGACUCCUGAACAAUCUUAGCUUAACAGAAGUCUUCUCAUGGAUCAGUAAUUGAUCAAAAACAGGAUGUGGAGAGUGGGAAGAAAUGGUCGGUUCUUACAAUAAAUGGAUGGAAACUAAUAUGCCUCAAUUAUCAGUAUUGGGAUUUGUGCUUUUAAAUUUGUUCCUGGACUUAGGGAUUAGCAUGCCAAUGGAGCUUAUUUGUUAGGAAGGUAAAAGCAAACAAACAAAACGAUGGUGAAGAGCUUCAGAAGGACAUUGCUCAAUGAAGGGUAUGGAGCAUUCGUGUGGAAAAUGAUAGAUAUUGUUUUAUAUAUUGAUGGUGGUGUGAAAAAUCCUAAUUUUGCGUAUACACUAAUGGAUGCUGAUGGAAUCAGGAAAAUGGUUCCCAAAAGUUCCUUGCAAAAUUGUGGACGGUUAAGUGAAAAUGCUGAUCUGGAGCUGUGGAAUUCCUUGCUGAGCAUCGUUAGGAAACUCAUCAAAAAUAAAACUGCCCGUAUCACACAGGAACCUAUGGUGUCACCAUGCCUCAAAAGGAUCUUCUUCAAGUUUCUAGAGAAGGAAUCCACCUUUCUUCAGACAAGUUCCAUUCAGAACAUCUGCUACCUCAUACAGGUUUUGGACCAUGGCGAUGGUGCAGCCCUCCUCCGAUGUUCAGAAAGAGUACACAUGAAUUGAAGAGCUGGAUGUUUGGGGAGAACAUUUGGAAAUAUUAUUGUUUGUGUAGUUUACUGUCUUGUUUUGAAUGCUAAUUUGCACCCUCCUGGAGAAGCUUCUUGGAGUUUGUGUGGGUUUCUUUUUAUUGUUUUCACAGAUUUGAUGCAGUUUCUGUAAAUGGCCAGGAGGCCGUGUGGAGUUCCUGCUGGAAACAAACAAGCAAAUAAAUAAAUGUUCUGCAGAUUAGAACAGAAUUAAAAGGGGGAGUGAGAGAAGAUCUACAUUGCUUGACCUUCCCACCAUAGCUCUGUUAAAAAGAAGCUUUAUACAGAUCACCUCAUGGACAAUGAUUCUCUGAGGUCUUUGCCUCAUCCUUGGAUUUUGUUUUUUAAGCUGAGCAGGUUAGGGGUUUUGCCUGGAGCAGCAGUGAGUAAGGCCAGGGCUCCAUCGUUGAGCUGCAACCUCCAUGAAGCCCAACCAGGAGCUAAAUCGUCUUUCCCCUCCUGGAGCCCACCCUUCUGCUCGCCAAUCACUCUGCUCUCCGGACCAGCCAGAGGCCCGGAGACUCUGGCAGAGAUUUGGACCAUUUCUCUGGAAGAAUCCUCUCUCUUCAUAAACUGAAAACACACCACUCUGCAUGCCUGGCUAUCACCGGAGUGAUUCAUCUGGCCCUCUCAAUGUAGCAGCCUUAUUCACCCAUCAAGACCCUGAUUUACAAUCAGAGAGACAUGCACAUCCAUUUUGUAAAGCUGCUGUGGAUUCAGUCAGUCAGCAAAUUCCUGCCUGACGCGGAUGACGGUUUUGCUUCAUUCUGGACAAGGUCCCUGAAGCAAGGUCUCAGCUUAGAAGGUUUGAAGGAUGAAGCAGCCUUGGCUUUCGCAGAAAUUCAGGAGGCAGCUGUCUCUCCAGCACCGGCUGAUAGUGCCUCCAAGUUUAGGAAGCAGCCACCAAACUUUGGAGUCCAACAGUCCAAGAAAAAAAAGGUCUCUCUCAGUGGAUGGAAACCCAGCACCUCCCAAAUUUUGCACCAGCCAUGAGUCAAGCACAGUUUUAUUUACGGGAUUUAACUUGAAUACCUCUAGAUCUCCUACUCUCAAUGGUUUACAGUAGAAAUAAGCAUAUUGGGGGGAAAUUAAAGAGAGAUGAAAGAUAGAGGCUUAUGUGACACACCUCCAAGGAGAAUUAGCCACGUGAAGAUGUUGCUUUUGUUGACGGUAAUUGAAAGUUCUCAUCUGAUACAUCCCUUUUCUGCUCAAUUAGAGGAAAUUAUACAUAAUCAUGUAUAGUGUGUGUGCAUAAUAUUCUGUCUGUCUAUGUAGUGCAGCACACUGUAUGUCUAAGAAAUUGAGAUACAAAUUGAGAUAGAAAUCAAAUCAGUUCAAAUAUCUCCAGGGUCAGAAAACUCAAGAAAGCAGCUGUGAUGGUGUGAUUGAAGCUGCACCCGCGACACACCCACGACAGACGUAAAAAAUGGGGGGUGCUUCAAUCACGCCAUCACAGAUGCCACCUUGACUUCUGAUCGCACCCUGCGGACACCCGUGGUCCCUGGAAGGUGCCCUGGAACAUAUUGUGGCUUUGCUCUGCAUCAUAGUUUGACCCUCAGGCCUUCUCCCUGUUCCAGGGAAGCCGUGGCACCGAACUAACACAAAACCGAUCCAAUUUGGCAAGGCAAACAUGCCCACAGAGCCCAAAACCUCCCUGUGCUGUUUAGGCAUUGAUUUCCAUGGAGUUCCCUAGAAAGAUGGACUUCAGAUAACUGAGCCCCAUUUCUCCAUGGCUGAGCUCUAUAAAUGGCUGCUUUGAAAUACGGACCAUCUCUGAGCAACCACUGCAUGAAUUCCCCUGUCUCUCCUUAAUUGGAGCCUUCAUCUCCUGAUCUAAUAAUAAUGCAAUCGGUACCACCAGGCAGUUUUCGAACAGUUAACUACCCAUGCCUGCCACAGUCCAUUAGCCACACAAAUUCUGCCAAACGCUCACAUUAGUUCCAUCCAGAGGAUUUUUUCAGCAUUGCUAGGAAGGGAGCAGGCUGCCCCUCUUCUGGCCUUGGCUAGGCGAGAUUCCCCAGCAGGGUCGUCUGAGUCCUGCCCAGAAUCUUCACACACAUCUUCUUCCCUCGUCCCGCUCUCCUCCGUUCCUCCUGUGCGACCAGAAACACCUUCUUCAUGGCUCAAUUCCACGAUUGGUCUGCCUUUUAAUCUGUAGAAGAAUUUAGGUUGUAUCCUUCUAAUGCCCAAGCAUUGUUUAGGCCAGCCCGUGAUUUUAAGUAAUGGAACAUGGAAACAGGACACAAGAAAAACAGAGAGAGAAUCAUUCCAACGUGCCUUUGGCUCUAGCCAUUGGAGGUACCUAUCAGAAGUGUGUUCAUAUUGUUUUGUGUGUUUCUAAUUUCUGUCUUUUGGGCUUUGCUGUUCACCACCUGGAGUCCAUCAGGGCUGAGGUGGACUACAAAUAUAAUUAAAUAAGGAAAUGCAAUAAAUAACAAAAAUAAA